AUGUGGCGGCAACUUCAGCCAAUUAGAAAGAUGAGAGGGAAAACUCCACGGGAGCGCCGGCGAGCACGGCUGGGGGCGGGCACCGCGAGGGCGCCCGUGGGCGGCGGAGGGAACCCCCCAGGUCGUCCUGCCCGCGCCUCGGCCAGGAGCGCCGCAGCAGGCCGGGAGCCGCCCGAGCCCGGUCCCCGAGCCGCGGGGAACCCGCAAGCACGGGAGCAAGAGGCGGCCGGCCUGAACGCGGUCCGCCCCGGGAGGCCGGGGAGGGAGCCCGGGGGGGGAAGGGCAGGCCCCCGCAGCCUUCCCUGCGGCGCCUGCCCACGUCAUCGGCGCCCCCGGCCCUCCUGCGGCCCCUGCCUUACCGAGCCCCGCGGCCCCGCCGCGCUGUCGCGGCGUCGCUGCGCCCCGAUCGCCGCUCCGUGUCUGCCCUGCGGGGCGCCGGGCCCGACGCCCUCCUCCUCCUCCGCCUCCUCGUCGUCGUCCUCACCCUCGCCGCCGCCGAGUACCGCCCGCACGCUAAGCCUAGCGCCUGGCCGCCGAGGGCAGCCGCGGGGGCUCGGCCGGGCGCCCCCCGCGCCAGCGCCUCAUCCCGCCGCGCCGCGCCGCCCCGUCAGGCUCGGGGGCGGGGACGCCGGGCUCCGGGCCGCGGCCUCGGAGUCCCCACCUCCGACACGCGCCGCGAUCGCCCUCCCCCGGCGGAGUGGGCCCCGGGGACGCGGUCCUCAGGCUCCGAGCCCCUCACCCGCCGCCUUCGGGCCGCCCCCGCAGCGCCCCCGCCCCGAUCGCGGCGCGCGCCCGCGGAGCCCGCCGCCGGCCCAGCCUCCUCCUCCCGCGCUCCGCCUCCUCCUGAGCCCGCGACACCCGCAGCGGGGAGAAGAGGCGCGCCGCCGCGGCCGCGAGCACGAGCACGCGCGAGGAGGGCGGGCAGAGCGCGCGCGCGGCCGAGGGCGGCGGGGGCGCGCCCUGGCCUCGCCUGCUGUUGUCCAGGAGCGCACGUGCGCGGCGGGGGGGCUGCGAGGGGUACGCAGCUCGCUUUCCCCUGGCCGCGAAGGCCAGCGGGGCGCUGGAAGGGGGCCGGGGUGCAACCCCGGGGGGGUUCGGGCAAGGUCGACUGCCUUGGCUUCUGCAUUGUGCUGCGGUGAAAAAAUAAAAAACCUGCCGCAGCAGCAGUUACGCCGGGAAGAGACAUCUUCGGAGACCACAGCAGUGGCUCCUCUGCACUCCCAGCUGACCCCUGGAUACUGUCACCGCGCGGCGGAGAGGGGGUGUUGCCGCAAAGUUAUGGACCUGAAGAUUGGAAGUGACCUGGCAAGGGAGAAGAAGGACAAGCAAGAGUGAAAGAGUAGCAAACCCUGAAGUGGUUCCAAGGGUUUACCUCGUGACCACAGAGACCCAUCUCUGCCAGAGAGGAACAAGCAUGCAGAGAAGAAUUCAAUAGCCUGGGUUGUUCCUGGGAUUGGUGAGCUUUAAAAUCUCCUGUGAUGUCAAGAAGAGGAAAGCCUUCACAUCCCAGGUUUGGCCAUCACAUCCCCGAAUUCAGCUGCAUUGGCUGAAUGUUAAAUGGUUUAUGCCCAGCUAGUGGGAAGGUGAAUAAUACGUAAAGGAGCUGGGAUCUACACAUACGUUGGAUGACACAGACAUUGUACUUCAGAGUCUCGAAGCAUUUUGGUAACGUUCCCCCUAUUGGUAUUUGUGCUCGUUCAGAGAAAGAAUAAAUGGAUUCCUUCUGUGUAUUCCAGAUGUUGGGGUUUUGAGCAAGCUCAAGGGUGCUGAUGCUCCUUGCUCUUGUUCUGAGCCAGCACUCCCCCUCCUUGGAAAGUAGCAUCCAAAUAACCUAUGAAUAAGUAAUUAAUCUUGCCAAGCCUGCAGAUGAACUGAAUGUUGUGAUUUCUGGCCAACUCUGCAGCCAUCUGAACUGGGUGCUUCACAGUUUGUAACCAAUUACCUUGUGGUCCUAAUAACACCUUUAGUGAUUCAAUACAUAUAUCCCAAUAAUGGCAACAUUCUCUUAAAAAAGAAAAAGCCUUCCCAGCUGUAAAAUAAUGUUACAUAAUUGCAUUUGUUAUGGUCUGAUUCUGUAUUCUCAAGGUGAGGGGCAGGAGUGGGGUUAGGGGAGACAGAUUCCUUCUGUCUCCAAAGCUGUCCGAGGUCUCAGACUGGCCUCCUUUCUCAGCCUUGGCACUGUCAUCUUCCGGACAGGAGCAUCUGGGCUCACUCCUGGCAUCUCGGAUCUAUUGCCCUGCAGUCCCCUCCGGGCACUGGAGCAGCGUCACGGUACAGACAAGUAGAGCCAGCACAGAGUGCAGCCACUGAGCCGACUGCAUUGCCUACCUAACCUUGAGGUUUAGAGCGAGUCUGGGAAUUUGAGCAAGGAAGAGAGAGAAAGCUUAUGUUCAUCCCCAAAUUGAAGGCUCAACAGCCGGCUUGAGAAAAAUGAGUUGCCGAAAGCCGAAAUUCUUCAGAGAGAAUUUUCCCAAAGUGACGUUUGACAUUGCCCUGUUUGUUUAUUUUCUUCCUGGCCAAAGGGCCAACUCCAUAUUGUGUCCUAAUUAAACAGGAUAACAAAAUAGAUUUUUGAAAAA